GACAGAGGGUGCAAACGUUGUUCGGAAUUACUGGGCGUAAAGCGCGUGUAGGCGGCCAAGUGUGUCGGAUGUGAAAUCCCACGGCUCAACCGUGGAAGUGCAUUCGAAACUGCUUGGCUGGAGUCUCGGAGAGGAAGGCGGAAUGCUUGGUGUAGAGGUGAAAUUCGUAGAUAUCAAGCAGAACACCUGUGGCGAAGGCGGCCUUCUGGACGAUGACUGACGCUGAGACGCGAAAGCGUGGGGAGCAAACAGG
rnacentral:rRNA from 1 species